UCUGGAAGAGGCGUUGUCGUCUGGAGACGUUGUGGUGGAGACGUGACUCCUGCUGAAAGGCCAAUGUUUUGUUUGGGAGCUGAGCAUGGGCAGGCGGCAGCUAACUGGACGGCGAAGCGACGAGCUGAGCAUUCACAAGUCUUUGAAGUCCUGUUGCAGCAUUUUGUAGAAUGCUCUUCAGCUGGGGGCUGGUCUCGCGUUCUUCACAUGACUGGACUUGGAUUAUUGAUAUUUGGGAGGAAACCACAAAGAGACCUCUGUUUUCCCAACCCCUCUCCUGAAGCUCUCGGAUCCUCACAAUGCUGUUUCACCACCGAAGAGGACCUGAGCUCACCUCACCUCCACCUCAUGUCUUGCAAAUCUGAGAGCUUUUGGUCUCCACUGCUUUGACUAUGCUGCCUCACAGCAGGAAGAGCGAGAACACGUGGAUGACAGUCUCGUGUGCAAGAUGCGUGGGCCGAAUGCCUGCCACAGCCAUCUCUCUUUCUGCGUUUUGUUAUAAUUUACUCCUCUUUUCUGGUUUAAGAUGCUAGACAAAGUGUGAUUACAAGUGACUCUGUCAUAAUGGAGAAGUAAAGGUGUGUGCACCAUAGAGCUUUGCCGUUUUAUUCCUCUUGUUAACUAGAAUAUUAA